AUCAUCAUGGAGGAUAGUGAUCAAUCUAUUUGAGAUCGGUGCAUGGUUCACCUCUCUUGUGGAUAGAUGAGUCUUGGAUCUGUGGUGUAGAGAUACUGAGAUGAAGGUACAGAUAGUUGUUAGAGAAUAACUUGCACUGAGCCUGACCAACACGAGAAUCACAUAGAUGUCUACUCACACAUCAGUGGUCUUUUCAAUGCUGUAGUGGUGUGAGUGAUCUUUUGUCCUAC
rnacentral:lncRNA from 1 species